GUAGUCCACGCUGUAAACGAUGUCGAUUUGGAAGUUGCCGGCAUGACUGGUGGCUUCCGGAGCUAACGCGUUAAAUCGACCGCCUGGGGAGUACGGCCGCAAGGUUAAAACUCAAAUGAAUUGACGGGGGCCCGCACAAGCGGUGGAGCAUGUGGUUUAAUUCGAUGCAACGCGAAGAACCUUACCUGGUCUUGACAUCCACAGAAGACUGCAGAGAUGCGGUUGUGCCUUCGGGAACUGUGAGACAGGUGCUGCAUGGCUGUCGUCAGCUCGUGUUGUGAAAUGUUGGGUUAAGUCCCGCAACGAGCGCAACCCCUGUCCUUUGUUGCCAGCGCGUAAUGGCGGGAACUCAAAGGAGACUGCCGGUGAUAAACCGGA
rnacentral:rRNA from 1 species